GGUUGUGGCUCAGUGGUAGAGCACUUGCUUAGCAUGUGUGAGUCACUGGGUUCGAUUCCCAGCACCACCU
rnacentral:tRNA from 1 species